CGAUUUCCGAAUGGGGAAACCCAGUGUGAUUCGUCACACUAUCAUUAACUGAAUCCAUAGGUUAAUGAGGCGAACCGGGGGAACUGAAACAUCUAAGUACCCCGAGGAAAAGAAAUCAACCGAGAUUCCCCCAGUAGCGGCGAGCGAACGGGGAGGAGCCCAGAGCCUGAAUCAGCAUGUGUGUUAGUGGAAGCGUCUGGAAAGGCGCGCGAUACAGGGUGACAGCCCCGUACACAAAAGCGCAUGUGCUGUGAGCUCGAUGAGUAGGGCGGGACACGUGGUAUCCUGUCUGAAUAUGGGGGGACCAUCCUCCAAGGCUAAAUACUCCUGACUGACCGAUAGUGAACCAGUACCGUGAGGGAAAGGCGAAAAGAACCCCGGCGAGGGGAGUGAAAAAGAACCUGAAACCGUGUACGUACAAGCAGUGGGAGCACCCUUCGGGGUGUGACUGCGUACCUUUUGUAUAAUGGGUCAGCGACUUAUAUUCUGUAGCAAGGUUAACCGUAUAGGGGAGCCGGAGGGAAACCGAGUCUUAAUUGGGCGUUAAGUUGCAGGGUAUAGACCCGAAACCCGGUGAUCUAGCCAUGGGCAGGUUGAAGGUUGGGUAACACUAACUGGAGGACCGAACCGACUAAUGUUGAAAAAUUAGCGGAUGACCUGUGGCUGGGGGUGAAAGGCCAAUCAAACCGGGAGAUAGCUGGUUCUCCCCGAAAGCUAUUUAGGUAGCGCCUCGUGAAUUCAUCUCCGGGGGUAGAGCACUGUUUCGGCUAGGGGGCCAUCCCGGCUUACCAACCCGAUGCAAACUGCGAAUACCGGAGAAUGUUAUCACGGGAGACACACGGCGGGUGCUAACGUCCGUCGUGAAGAGGGAAACAACCCAGACCGCCAGCUAAGGUCCCAAAGUCAUGGUUAAGUGGGAAACGAUGUGGGAAGGCCCAGACAGCCAGGAUGUUGGCUUAGAAGCAGCCAUCAUUUAAAGAAAGCGUAAUAGCUCACUGGUCGAGUCGGCCUGCGCGGAAGAUGUAACGGGGCUAAACCAU
rnacentral:rRNA from 1 species